AACUCACAUGAGGUGAUAAGCACUGUGUACACAGUGGCACAUGGAAAAGGGUCAUCGUGAACUUCGGGCCAGUGAAGGAGAGAAUCUCAGAGCCCCAGAGUCCUUGGUCAAGAAGUGGCUUACAAAGGCCAUACAGUAGGUCAGGAAUCCUGUUAUAUGGAUGGGCUGACAAGAGGCCUGGUGAUAGGAGCCA